rnacentral:rRNA from 1 species
UUUUUACGGAGAGUUUGAUCCUGGCUCAGGACGAACGCUGGCGGCGUGCUUAACACAUGCAAGUCGAACGAUGAAGCCCAGCUUGCUGGGUGGA